rnacentral:rRNA from 1 species
CCUACGGGAGGCAGCAGUGAGGAAUAUUGGUCAAUGGGCGCGAGACUGAACCAGCCAAGUAGCGUGAAGGAUGAAUGCCCUACGGGUUGUAAACUUCUUUUAUAAAGGAAUACAGUGAGGCACGUGUGACUUUUUGUAUGUACUUUAUGAAUAAGGAUCGGCUAACUCCGUGCCAGCAGCCGCGGUAAUACGGAGGAUCCGAGCGUUAUCCGGAUUUAUUGGGUUUAAAGGGAGCGUAGAUGGGUUGUUAAGCCAGUUGUGAAAGUUUGCGGCUCAACCGUAAAAUUGCAAUUGAUACUGGCAGUCUUGAGUACAGUUGAGGUAGGCGGAAUUCGUGGUGUAGCGGUGAAAUGCUUAGAUAUCACGAAGAACUCCGAUUGCGAAGGCAGCUUACUAAACUGCCACUGACAUUGAUGCUCGAAAGUGUGGGUAUCAAACAGGAUUAGAUACCCCGGUAGUC